rnacentral:sRNA from 1 species
UAUGAUUAAUUCAGACUUCACACACAUAUCACUUACUGUCAGUCGGGGUGCCAAACGGUCGAUGCGACAGGAUAUGUGGAGGCUAAAC